CUCCGACUCAGUGCGCUGUGUGUUCUGUUCGUUGUUUAUUGAAAAUGUUUGUUUUUCAGUUUUUUUUUUUCAGAUUUAUCACAACAAAAUUUGAUGACAAUUUAAUGAAGACUUGCUCGGCUUUGCAAAAGAUAAAUGAGUAGCCCUAAUUGAGAGUUUAAAUCAGUUAGAAAUAUUCAAGAAAUCAAAUGAAUAAUUGUGCGGAAUGGUCACCUUUAGCGAUUCUCGUUUGAAGAGUACAAUAAAAAAAAAUCGCAGUUUGUUUAAACAUUGAUAUUAUUACUUCAAAUUAGCACCUGUGAUUCGAUUCUCUUUUUUAUUGACGUGGGCGAACUCUGAGGCGACAUCCAUACUUUUUGCGAUUUUUGACCACUGUUGACACUUCGAUACAUUGUAAGAAUUUUACAAACAGGCGCUAAAACGUGUCACUAAUUACUUAAUUGUCAAAUUGAAAAAUAACCUUGACAUUUAUAUGGCCUACUUGGAUUCCAUGUUAAUAUUUGAUGUCAAUAAAUUGUGACGCUAAACUUGUGCAA